rnacentral:rRNA from 1 species
GAUGAACGCUAGCGGCAGGCUUAACACAUGCAAGUCGAGGGGCAGCGCGAUGUAGCAAUACAUUGGGCGGCGACCGGCGCACGGGUGCGUAACACGUAUGGAAUCUGCCCUGUACUGGGGAAUAGCCCGGAGAAAUCCGGAUUAAUGCCCCAUAACAGACGAAGUGGCAUCACUUUGUCUUGAAAGCUCCGGCGGUACAGGAUGACCAUGCGCACGAUUAGCUAGUUGGUGAGGUAACGGCUCACCAAGGCUACGAUCGUUAGGGGGCCUGAGAGGGUUAUCCCCCACACUGGUACUGAGACACGGACCAGACUCCUACGGGAGGCAGCAGUGAGGAAUAUUGCGCAAUGGGAGGCAACUCUGACGCAGCCAGUGCCGCGUGCAGGAAG